rnacentral:rRNA from 1 species
UCCGUGCCAGCAGCCGCGGUAAUACGGAGGAUCCGAGCGUUAUCCGGAAUUAUUGGGUUUAAAGGGUUCGUAGGCGGCUUUGUAAGUCAGUGGUGAAAUUUCCUAGCUUAACUAGGACACUGCCAUUGAUACUGCAGAGCUUGAAUAGUAUGGAAGUAACUAGAAUAUGUAGUGUAGCGGUGAAAUGCUUAGAUAUUACAUGGAAUACCAAUUGCGAAGGCAGGUUACUACGUAUUUAUUGACGCUGAUGAACGAAAGCGUGGGGAGCGAACAGGAUUAGAUACCCUGGUAGUCCACGCCGUAAACGAUGGAUACUAGCUGUUCGGUUUUCGGACUGAGUGGCUAAGCGAAAGUGAUAAGUAUCCCACCUGGGGAGUACGUUCGCAAGAAUGAAACUCAAAGGAAUUGACGGGGGCCCGCACAAGCGGUGGAGCAUGUGGUUUAAUUCGAUGAUACGCGAGGAACCUUACCAGGGCUUAAAUGUAGAUUGACAGAUUUGGAAACAGAUUUUUCUUCGGACAAUUUACAAGGUGCUGCAUGGUUGUCGUCAGCUCGUGCCGUGAGGUGUCAGGUUAAGUCCUAUAACGAGCGCAACCCCUAUUGUUAGUUACCAGCGCGUAGUGGCGGGGACUCUAGCAAGACUGCCGGUGCAAACCGUGAGGAAGGUGGGGAUGACGUCAAAUCAUCACGGCCCUUACGUCCUGGGCUACACACGUGCUACAAUGGCAAGUACAGAAAGCAGCUACCUGGCAACAGGAUGCGAAUCUCCAAAGCUUGUCUCAGUUCGGAUUGGAGUCUGCAACUCGACUCUAUGAAGCUGGAAUCGCUAGUAAUCGGAUAUCAGCCAUGAUCCGGUGAAUACGUUCCCGGGCCUUGUACACACCGCCCGUCAAGCCAUGGAAGCUGGGGGUACCUGAAGUCGGUGACCGCAAGGAGCUGCCUAGGGUAAAACUAGUAACUAGGGCUAAGUCGUAACAAGGUAGCCGUACCGGAAGGUGCGGCUGGAACACCUCCUUUCUAGA